UACGGGGGGGGCAAGCGUUGUUCGGAAUUACUGGGCGUAAAGCGCACGUAGGCGGCUAUUCAAGUCGGGGGUGAAAGCCCGGGGCUCAACCCCGGAACUGCCCUCGAAACUAGGUAGCUAGAAUCUUGGAGAGGCGAGUGGAAUUCCGAGUGUAGAGGUGAAAUUCGUAGAUAUUCGGAAGAACACCAGUGGCGAAGGCGACUCGCUGGACAAGUAUUGACGCUGAGGUGCGAAAGCUAGGGGAGCAAACGGG
rnacentral:rRNA from 1 species